rnacentral:rRNA from 1 species
UACGUAGGGUGCGAGCGUUAAUCGGAAUUACUGGGCGUAAAGCGUGCGCAGGCGGUGAUGUAAGACAGAUGUGAAAUCCCCGGGCUCAACCUGGGACCUGCAUUUGUGACUGCAUCGCUAGAGUACGGCAGAGGGGGAUGGAAUUCCGCGUGUAGCAGUGAAAUGCGUAGAUAUGCGGAGGAACACCGAUGGCGAAGGCAAUCCCCUGGGCCUGUACUGACGCUCAGUGCACGAAAGCGUGGGGAGCAAACAGG